rnacentral:lncRNA from 1 species
GUGUAUCGAUAUAUGGUGGUCAUGGGCCUGUCGUAAGUGGAGUAAUCCGGCCAAAACUUUUGCUUCCGUUCCGUCGCGUCGGCCAAAAACAUUCGGGACAGAGUCUGGUCCAUUGCGUCUGUAAGCUGUCGACAAUUCUUCCGCGCUGAAGUCGCCCUGCUGAACGUCUACGGCUCUUCCGAAAUCCCCAGUCAAACAGUAGGAUUUUUUCCAGCUUUCGAGUAGUCAAGGAAGAAGUGAUUGAGUUAAAUGGAGUAUCAGCAAAUUACCUCCUUUGCUGGAAAUGAACAACGAGGAUACGAGCAGAUUGGUUACCAUUUGGAACGCAACCUGACCAUGGGACCACCGAAUGCAGGAUGUAAUUGCAGAUGAAUUUUGUUCAUCAGAAAGGAAACCAGUGGAAGUUCUUCCGUAUGAUAGACUGCCAGCUGUUACUAAUUAUGAAUGCAAUUUGAGCAUCUGUUCCAACGCCUUCUGAAAAUAGUACCUAUACUGGCUACGGAUGUUACGGUUAUGGACUUGCGGUGCCAUCGGAAAGCGCAGUAUGAUGUGAAGAUUGACGGAAUAAAUGCAGUCAUUUUCUUCGAUCAGAUAAUGAAAAUAUGCAUAGAUACACAACUUAAGUACAAACUUGACCAAGUUCGAUUGAUUUACUAAUCAAAGUAAGUAUUCUUAUGUGAAAAAAAUAAAUAAAUCAAUUGAAACAUAGA